GCAAACCAACCAUAAAUGAAACGUGUCAAAGGAAGUUUUGCGUGAAAAAUAUUUUUUUUCUUCCUCCUUGCUUGUCCGUUGCAACAAUAACAUGACGUCUUUUUUUUAAUAAAAACAAAAACAAAUUCUUCUUCUCCAAUCAUGAACCAAAAAUAACAACAUUAACAAUCAAAGAAAACUUGGAUAUCAAAUCUUUAUCUCUCACUUACUCUCUAAAUCAAG
rnacentral:lncRNA from 1 species